GCCGAAGUGGCGGAACUGGCAGACGCGCACGUUUGAGGGGCGUGUGGGGCAACCCGUGGGGGUUCGAGUCCCCCCUUCGGCA
rfam:Candidatus Rokubacteria bacterium RIFCSPLOWO2_12_FTLL_71_22 rifcsplowo2_12_scaffold_15164, whole genome shotgun sequence.